rnacentral:rRNA from 1 species
UACGUAGGUGGCAAGCGAUACUCGGAAUCACUAGGCGUAAAGCGCAGGUAGGAGGUUUGGUAAGUCUAUUGUGAAAGCUCCCGGCUUAACUGGGAGAGGUCAAUGGAAACUACUAGGCUAGAGUGCGGUAGAGGUAGCUGGAAUUCCCGGUGUAGCGGUGAAAUGCGUAGAUAUAGGAAGGAAUACCAGUGGCGAAGGCGGCCUCCUGGAUCGAUACUGACGCUGAGGCGCGAAAGCGUGGGGAGCAAACAGG